AACGCACAUUGCGCCCCGUGGUAUUCCGCGGGGCAUGCCUGUUCGAGCGUCAGUACAACACUCAAGCUCUGCUUGGUAUUGGAUCACACCGGCAACGGUCGAUCUUAAAAUCAGUGGCGGUGCCCUCUGGCUCUAAGCGUAGUAAUUUCUCUCGCUACAGUGCCCAGGUGGUGUCCUGCCAGCAACCCCCAAUUUUCUAGUUUGACCUCGGAUCAGGUAGGGAUACCCGCUGAACUUAA
rnacentral:misc_RNA from 1 species